rnacentral:rRNA from 1 species
CCGCCUGAACUUAAGCAUAUCAAUAAACGGAGGAAAAGAAACCAACAGGGGAUUGCCCUAGUAACGGCGAGUGAAGCGGCAACAGCUCAAAUUUGAAAUCUGGCGUCUUUGGCGUCCGAGUUGUAAUUUGCAGAGGGCGCUUUGGCAUUGGCAGCGGUCCAAGUUCCUUGGAACAGGACGUCACAGAGGGUGAGAAUCCCGUACGUGGUCGCUAGCCUUUACCGUGUAAAGCCCCUUCGACGAGUCGAGUUGUUUGGGAAUGCAGCUCUAAAUGGGAGGUAAAUUUCUUCUAAAGCUAAAUACUGGCCAGAGACCGAUAGCGCACAAGUAGAGUGAUCGAAAGAUGAAAAGCACUUUGGAAAGAGAGUUAAAAAGCACGUGAAAUUGUUGAAAGGGAAGCGCUUGCAGCCAGACUUGCCUGUAGUUGCUCAUCUGGGUUUUUACCCAGUGCACUCUUCUAUAGGCAGGCCAGCAUCAGUUUGGGCGGUUGGAUAAAGGUCUCUGUCAUGUACCUCUCUUCGGGGAGAACUUAUAGGGGAGACGACAUGCAACCAGCCUGGACUGAGGUCCGCGCAUCUGCUAGGAUGCUGGCGUAAUGGCUGUAAGCGGCCCGUCUUGAAACACGGACCAAGGAGUCUAACAUCUAUGCGAGUGUUUGGGUGUCAAGCCCGAGCGCGUAAUGAAAGUGAACGGAGGUGGGAACCUUUCGGGGUGCACCAUCGACCGAUCCUGAUGUCUUCGGAUGGAUUUGAGUAAGAGCAUAGCUGUUGGGACCCGAAAGAUGGUGAACUAUGCUUGAAUAGGGUGAAGCCAGAGGAAACUCUGGUGGAGCUCGCAGCGGUUCUGACGUGCAAAUCGAUCGUCAAANUUGGGCAUAGGGGCGAAAGACUAAUCGAA